GAUGAAGAACGUAGCGAAAUGCGAUACUUGGUGUGAAUUGCAGAAUCCCGUGAACCAUCGAGUCUUUGAACGCAAGUUGCGCCUCAAGCCAUUAGGUUGAGGGCACGUCUGCCUGGGCGUCACAUAUCGUUGCCUGAUGCCAGUUUCCUCGUGAUGGGUGACUGUGCAGGGCGAAUGAUGGCUUCCCGUGAGCAUUGUUGCCUCAUGGUUGGUUGAAAAUUGAGUCCUUGGUAGGGAGCGCCGUGAUAGAUGGUGGUUGAGUGACGAACGAGACCCAAUCAUGUGAGACCCCUACCGGAUUUGGCCUUCAUGACCCACAUGCGUCUUUGGAACGCUCAUGACGAGACCUCAGGUCAGGCGGGGCUACCCGCUGAGUUUAAGCAUAUCAAUAAGCGGAGGA
rnacentral:misc_RNA from 1 species